UGCCCUGGCAGUCAGAGGCGAUGAAGGGCGUGCUAAUCUGCGAUAAGCGCCGGUAAGGUGAUAUGAACCGUUAUAACCGGCGAUACCCGAAUGGGGAAACCCAGUGUGAUUCGUCACACUAUCAUUAACUGAAUCCAUAGGUUAAUGAGGCGAACCGGGGGAACUGAAACAUCUAAGUACCCCGAGGAAAAGAAAUCAACCGAGAUUCCCCCAGUAGCGGCGAGCGAACGGGGAGGAGCCCAGAGCCUGAAUCAGCAUGUGUGUUAGUGGAAGCGUCUGGAAAGGUGCGCGAUACAGGGUGACAGCCCCGUACACAAAAGCGCAUGUGCUGUGAGCUCGAUGAGUAGGGCGGGACACGUGGUAUCCUGUCUGAAUAUGGGGGGACCAUCCUCCAAGGCUAAAUACUCCUGACUGACCGAUAGUGAACCAGUACCGUGAGGGAAAGGCGAAAAGAACCCCGGCGAGGGGAGUGAAAAAGAACCUGAAACCGUGUACGUACAAGCAGUGGGAGCACAGGUUUACCUGUGUGACUGCGUACCUUUUGUAUAAUGGGUCAGCGACUUAUAUUCUGUAGCAAGGUUAACCGUAUAGGGGAGCCGGAGGGAAACCGAGUCUUAAUUGGGCGUUAAGUUGCAGGGUAUAGACCCGAAACCCGGUGAUCUAGCCAUGGGCAGGUUGAAGGUUGGGUAACACUAACUGGAGGACCGAACCGACUAAUGUUGAAAAAUUAGCGGAUGACCUGUGGCUGGGGGUGAAAGGCCAAUCAAACCGGGAGAUAGCUGGUUCUCCCCGAAAGCUAUUUAGGUAGCGCCUCGUGAAUUCAUCUCCGGGGGUAGAGCACUGUUUCGGCUAGGGGGCCAUCCCGGCUUACCAACCCGAUGCAAACUGCGAAUACCGGAGAAUGUUAUCACGGGAGACACACGGCGGGUGCUAACGUCCGUCGUGAAGAGGGAAACAACCCAGACCGCCAGCUAAGGUCCCAAAGUCAUGGUUAAGUGGGAAACGAUGUGGGAAGGCCCAGACAGCCAGGAUGUUGGCUUAGAAGCAGCCAUCAUUUAAAGAAAGCGUAAUAGCUCACUGGUCGAGUCGGCCUGCGCGGAAGAUGUAACGGGGCUAAACCAUGCACCGAAGCUGCGGCAGCGAACGUAUCACCCAAGACAACUUUACGGAGUUGACGAUUGACGGAGCGAAGCGACGUCAAAGCGUUCAUUAAAGUCGAGUUGGCUUAGGGAUACGUUCGUUGGGUAGGGGAGCGUUCUGUAAGCCUGUGAAGGUGUGUCGUGAGGCAUGCUGGAGGUAUCAGAAGUGCGAAUGCUGACAUAAGUAACGAUAAAGCGGGUGAAAAGCCCGCUCGCCGGAAGACCAAGGGUUCCUGUCCAACGUUAAUCGGGGCAGGGUGAGUCGACCCCUAAGGCGAGGCCGAAAGGCGUAGUCGAUGGGAAACGGGUUAAUAUUCCCGUACUUGGUGUUACUGCGAAGGGGGGACGGAGAAGGCUAUGUUGGCCGGGCGACGGUUGUCCCGGUUUAAGCGUGUAGGUGUGUGUUCCAGGUAAAUCCGGUU
rnacentral:rRNA from 1 species